rnacentral:rRNA from 1 species
AUACGUAGGGGGCGAGCGUUGUCCGGAAUGAUUGGGCGUAAAGGGCGCGUAGGCGGCUUUGCAAGUCAGUAGUGGAAGUCCAUUUUUCAAGGAUGGAAGUGCUACAGAAACUGCGGAGCUUGAGUGCAGGAGAGGUUAUCGGAAUUCCCGGUGUAGCGGUGAAAUGCGUAGAGAUCGGGAGGAACACCAGUGGCGAAGGCGGGUAACUGGACUGCAACUGACGCUGAGGCGCGAAAGUGUGGGGAGCAAACAGGAUUAGAUACCCUGGUAGUCCACACUGUAAACGAUGAAUGCUAGGUGUAGGAGGUAUCGACCCCUUCUGUGCCGCAGUAAACACAGUAAGCAUUCCGCCUGGGGAGUACGGUCGCAAGAUUGAAACUCAAAGGAAUUGACGGGG